rnacentral:rRNA from 1 species
AUUGAACGCUGGCGGCAGGCCUAACACAUGCACGUCGAGCGGAUGAAGGGAGCUUGCUCCUGGAUUCAGCGGCGGACGGGUGAGUAAUGCCUAGGAAUCUGCCUGGUAGUGGGGGAUAACGUCCGGAAACGGGCGCUAAUACCGCAUACGUCCUGAGGGAGAAAGUGGGGGAUCUUCGGACCUCACGCUAUCAGAUGAGCCUAGGUCGGAUUAGCUAGUUGGUGGGGUAAAGGCCUACCAAGGCGACGAUCCGUAACUGGUCUGAGAGGAUGAUCAGUCACACUGGAACUGAGACACGGUCCAGACUCCUACGGGAGGCAGCAGUGGGGAAUAUUGGACAAUGGGCGAAAGCCUGAUCCAGCCAUGCCGCGUGUGUGAAGAAGGUCUUCGGAUUGUAAAGCACUUUAAGUUGGGAGGAAGGGCAGUAAGUUAAUACCUUGCUGUUUUGACGUUACCAACAGAAUAAGCACCGGCUAACUUCGAG